GGGCAGGGGGAAAGCAGGAUCUGUGAGCAGGGGGCUGCUGCUGUGGGGGAGCAGAGCGGGGCUCUGUGCCCGGCAGCAUGUGGCUAGCAGGGACAUGGGGGUGCCCAGCCACCCUGUGGGGACCAGCCAGGCCGCGGGGGACUGGCACAGCUCCCUGGGCCCUCGGGCAUAGCUCAGCAGGCAGUGCCUCCGUGUUUGCUCCUCGCAGAGGCACGGCCUGCUCUGCUUGGCCUCAGUGUGCAGCAGAGCAGGAGAGCUCUGGGGUGGGGGCUCUGGGGGAACAGAGGGACCUGGUGGCCACUGGCUCCCCACCGUGGGGCUGUAACCCCAUCUCUGCUUGCUGCUGUGGCCAUGCCCUUCUCCCCGGUGACCGCUUGCUCUGAGUCACCAGGAAAUCUGAUAAGGCUCCAGUUAAACCACUGGAGUGGUGUGGGGGGGUUGCUUGGCACUGCGGCCAGGCUCAGCCACCCUGAUUUCUUGGCUCUCCUCCAACAUCCUGACUGUCACAUGUGUGUGACCAGGGCAAGCUGAAGGAGUUCUUACCUGGUUUACUGACUAAACUUUAGGUGCCAAGGGGCCUUUUGGUAAAGAUGCAGCCCCUAAUUCUUGGGAGAACUGCAUGUGGGGAAGGCACAGGCCCUUUCCGUGACAUGUGGCAGCUGAGCCUCGAGCUUUGAAGGUGACGUUUUCUGGUUUGCAGCAGUUACAUUCUUGAUUUAAGCCUCCCAAAGCACUAGCAGUCGGAGGGCAGGAGGGGAGCCUGUGGCAGCUAUAGGAUGGAAAAUCAUCCCCAAACGUGACCCAUCAAUUAAAGCAGAUGAUCAGCCCCAGCAGGAACCUGCUAGGGCUUAGUCAUAUCUGGGUGAGAAGCCUGGGCCAGUGAUGCAGCUGGCGCUGUUUGGGUUGAGGCAGGACCGUGCUCUGGCAGUGGGAGACUCCUUGAGGCAAAACCACGCUUGGCUUUCAGAAACAGUUCCUAGAAGCUAGAACAGGUACAGUGUUCCUGUGAAAUCACUGGCUGGGGUUUUGCUCCCUCCUGGAGCUGUGGUGGAGCGGAUGCAGCACCCAGGGAAGGCCUCGUGGCUCUGGCAGCGGCUCCCGUUUGUCCUGGACAAGGUUGGAAAGGGCCUGUCAGCCUGUUGAGCUCUGCAAAGCAUUUUGGUUGGUGCAGAUCCUUGGCCAAGAGGAAAUCUCCAUGCUCCGGCCUGGCCGUUUUAACCUGCAAACAAAUCCUCCUCCAGCUCCAGGUGUCUGCAGCACAAACCACUUACAGAGUAAGAGCUGCGUCUGUGAAACUGCAUUUGCGCCCUGGGACAUCCUAACUAUGGCACAGGGUGUAAAAUUGAACUUUAUGUGCACGCUGUGGGGUUUUUACACUGAAUUUCCUUUUUUUUUCUGUGUAGCAUAAGUUGAGGAUAGAAAAUGAGACAGGUAUUUAUUGAAAUGCCUUUUAAAAUUCAUAAUAAUUAAAAAUGUAUUUUGUGUUACUUAAAUUGUUUUCCCUUCACCUGUAAGAAGGGCAAGCUCUGAGGCAGAUUUAUUCCUUGCUCCCUGUACCUUUCCUUGGAACAGCCACAGCCCUGUUCCACGAGGACCCUCUCCAAGGUGUGGUUCUCCUGCAGGAGCUGUGCUGCUGGGAGAACUCCUUGUUUGCAUUCCCCAGCUUUCAAGGCUGCAUCAUGAAGCUCCAGGUCUCACAGUCAGAACCAGCAAGUCUUCCUUGGCUCCAGCCCUGGCAUUUCUGUCACCAGCUUGAGAAAAAAAUCAAGCUCCAUGUCCCAAUUUUCUCUCCACCAGCAAGGAAAACUUCCAUGUCAAGGACAUCUGAAGCCUGCCUGAUUUUCUGCGUGGAGCUUUGGGUCCCCAUGGAGAUGGCAUCUGAGAAAAGAAGAUAAAACCCUUUUGUGAGGAUGGAUCCCGGUUAUUAUUUGUUUAAUUAGAGUCUGGACUGAUGCAGAGGCAACAAUUAACUAUUACCUUCUGUAAAGGACUUUGACAACAGCUGAAUAGGUUAAUGACUUGCAAGAUGGAGACAAAUCAUUGCAGCUGUCAUUUAUGAGGCUGGAGGUGCAAAGAGCCUUGAUGUCUCUGAUUUAAGGGGCUUUUCCUCCUUCUUUUGGAAUAAUCAAGUAGGAAUUUUCUUCUGCCGUGCAGCUGGGAUUAUCUGGGAGCCAGGGAAUUAAGUUCCAAAUGAAAAUUUAAACUAUUCAUUAUGCUUUAUUAGCAGACCUCAAGAAUGUUUAAUUUUAGAAGUAAAUUAUAGGGAAGUGAAUUGGCAAGUUUUGCUUUCUUUUGCACACCUCCCCUUUUUGGGAGGGUUCUGUGAAAAACGCCAAUCAUUUGUUUUAAAAUUUUAAAAGUUUAACAGUAAUAAAAUUAUUAUAAAAAUAGA